rnacentral:lncRNA from 1 species
GUCACCACAGGGACCUGCAAAGAAAGUCUAAAUCAGAGUUGGGGGUGCUCCGGCAAGACCCUCCGACGCUCAAGUCAGUUCUUUGCUUCAAAAAGAAUGGAGUGCUCGAAUGAAAAUUUUAGCAGAGUUUCGAGAUAGAAAUUAGAGCUUAGAGAAUAACGUAUCUGGGGUCUCCUUUUUAUAGGUGGAGGGUGCAACAGAUUGAUAGCGACAUUUGUAACUGCCUGGUAGUGGACCAUUCGGGGCUAGGAGGAGUUUAUUAUGAAGAGUAGUGGAGUGGAGUCGUGGCUAUCACCAUGGCCUGCCACGUGGAGCCUGUUGCGGGGAGUGGAGCAGUGUCCAUUGUCGCGACUUGUCAGAGAGUGG